rnacentral:lncRNA from 1 species
CCGCCACCACCCAGCCUGCUGCAGUGAGAACGAACGACAUAUGUCAUCUCAUCGCGACGCCGUCUUUGGGGAGCUCUCCUUGGUGCGGCCUCCUCCUCGAGUCGUCACUUCGGCGUGACGGUAAACAUUGUCUUUUCGUGCCCUGAACUGCAAAAAAUAAAAUUUCACAUAAGCACAUAUAUUGAAAGAAAAAUGUCGUCUUUAGCCAUGUUACAUGUUCUCUAACUCGAAUUCGUCUCUUGAGUUUCUGAUGGUAGAUACUGUUUUUUUUCUCAAGUGGUACUGAAAGACGAUUGACAAAGGAGUUGCCUGAACCAAUUUGCCCAAAUGAAACAUCAAAUAAAGGAAAAACCUUCCUAAAGCAAGAAAAUAAAAGGGAUUAUACUUGUGUUUACGCUAAUAAAGAAAAGGCCUCUCUCAUGCAAGGAAAAUCAAAGAAGAAUGUCUACGUUGGCUUGGCUGGGGUUCAGAAGAGCUCAUUCGGUUCCUGCUCGCUCAAGUGGUGGAGGAAAAAUCCCGUCAAAGGUGUGGUGGAUACUCAUGGGCCAUGAAGUGCACGCCCCAGCCUCUCAACACCCAAGCUCCUCCCGCGGAGAGCCGCCGUCACCGUCGCCAUGUCCCUUGCCCGAGCCACUUCCGUUCGUCCACGAGUGCGCGCAUGCACCUACGUCCCUGGCGACCUAUACUUUCCAUUCUUCUCUGCUAUUCCUUUAUGAAAUAUUCUCGCUCGCAUGGGAAGCAACUCCCAUGGCGCUCGAGACCUCGAGCUCCGUGCGAGCUCCUCGCGUUGGCAACCGACAGAUCCGACCUUCCCCUCGCUGAAUCCGGUCCACCAUGAGCCCCAAGCCGCGCUGCCUCCGCACUCCUUCUCCUCCUCGCCGUCGGCAAGCCCCGCCACCGAUCCGUUCUUCCAGCCGUGCCUGCGAGCGCUUUGUUCCUCAUCUCCAUGGAUCUCUUUUCUCUGGUCUAUUGCGCGACCAACUGGUCUACCGCCACUUAUUGGCACUCCUCGCCCCCUGCGGAGAGGAGAAUGUGUGUGUGUGUGUGUGUGUGUGGUGGGGGGCUAGAUACAGGCUACGGGAAGAAGAUGCUUUUGAGCGAGGGAGAAAGAGUUACCGGGGCCUAGUUCAUCGCUCUUGUGGACGCGGUGCUCCUGCUCGCCUCCCUCCCCACGUCGAGCACAAUGGAUUU